rnacentral:rRNA from 1 species
UACGGAGGGUGCUAGCGUUGUUCGGAAUCACUGGGCGUAAAGGGCGUGUAGGCGGUCUAUUAAGUCUGGUGUGAAAUCCCCCCGCUCAACGGGGGAACGGCGCCGGAUACUGGUAGACUUGAGUACCGGAGAGGAAGGUGGAACUCCCGGUGUAGCGGUGAAAUGCGUAGAUAUCGGGAGGAACACCGGUGGCGAAGGCGGCCUUCUGGACGGAUACUGACGCUGAGACGCGAAAGCGUGGGGAGCAAACAGG